CUUCGAGAGCGGAGCGCGGCCUGCCCAGAGUGCCUUCUAUAUCCUGGGUCAGGCGCCAAGCUCCCCAGCAUCAUGCAGAAAGCUGCAGCCCCGCAGAGUUAGGACAGCUCACUUGGCACCCGGCGAGCCUUUCCCAGGCCCGCAGCCCAGAAUAGAGCCGGGGCCCAAGACGCCCGCUAGAG
ensembl:misc_RNA